GCAUGUAAUUCUCUAACAUAACAAUAUCACACUCAAGCAUAGCACAUGACAUUUUAGGUGAAAUGUUCAAAUUAAAACUAUAAAUUAUUACACCCAUAUUAUUCCCCUACCAAGCACAUUCAAGCAGGUGGUGACUUCCGCAGACC